rnacentral:rRNA from 1 species
UACGGGGGGGGCAAGCGUUGUUCGGAAUUACGGGGCGUAAAGGGCGCGUAGGCGGUUCGCUAAGUCGGAUGUGAAAACUCUGGGCUCAACCCAGAGCCUGCAUCCGAAACUGGCGGGCUAGAGUUCUGGAGGGGGUAGCGGAAUUCCUGGUGUAGCGGUGAAAUGCGUAGAUAUCAGGAGGAACACCGGUGGCGAAGGCGGAUCUCUGGGCCUUACCUGACGCUCAGGCACGAAAGCUAGGGGAGCGAACAGG